GUGCCAGCAGCCGCGGUAAUUCCAGCUCCAAUAGCGUAUAUUAAAGUUGUUGUGGUUAAAAAGCUCGUAGUUGAACCUUGGGCCUGGCUGGCCGGUCCGCCUCACCGCGUGCACUGGUCCGGCCGGGCCUUUCCCUCUGUGGAACCCCAUACCCUUCACUGGGCGUGGCGGGGAAACAGGACAUUUACUUUGAAAAAAUUAGAGUGCUCCAGGCAGGCCUAUGCUCGAAUACAUUAGCAUGGAAUAAUAAAAUAGGACGCGCGGUUCUAUUUUGUUGGUUUAUAGGACCGCCGUAAUGAUUAAUAGGGACAGUCGGGGGCAUCAGUAUUCAACUGUCAGAGGUGAAAUUCUUGGAUCAGUUGAAGACUAACUACUGCGAAAGCAUUUGCCAAGGAUGUUUUCAUUAAUCAGGAACGAAAGUUAGGGGAUCGAAGACGAUCAGAUACCGUCGUAGUCUUAACCAUAAACUAUGCCGACUAGGGAUCGGACGGUGUUAUUCAUGACCCGUUCGGCAUCUUACGAGAAAUCAAAGUGCUUGGGCUCCAGGGGGAGUAUGGUCGCAAGGCUGAAACUUAAAGAAAUUGACGGAAGGGCACCACCAGGGGUGGAGCCUGCGGCUUAAUUUGACUCAACACGGGGAAACUCACCAGGUCCAGACACAAUAAGGAUUGACAGAUUGAGAGCUCUUUUCUUGAUUUUGUGGGUGGUGGUGCAUGGUCGUCUAGUGGUUGGGGUGACUUGUCUGCUUAAUUGCGAAUAACGAACGAGACCUUAACCUGCUAAAUAGCCCGCAUUGCUCC
rnacentral:rRNA from 1 species